GGCGGCGUGCUUAUCACAUGCAAGUCGAACGCGAAAGGGACUUCGGUCCUGAGUAAAGUGGCGCACGGGUGAGUAACGCGUGGAUAAUCUACCCGAUGGACCGGGAUAACAUUUCGAAAGGGGUGCUAAUACCGGAUAAGACCACGGCUUCUUAGGGGGCUGCGGUAAAAGGUGGGGACCUUCGGGCCUACCGUCAUCGGAUGAGUCCGCGUACCAUUAGCUAGUUGGUAGGGUAAGGGCCUACCAAGGCGACGAUGGUUAGCUGGUCUGAGAGGAUGAUCAGCCACACUGGAACUGAGACACGGUCCAGACUCCUACGGGAUGCAGCA
rnacentral:rRNA from 1 species